rnacentral:lncRNA from 1 species
ACCCCCAUACCUCACCACCAACCUCACCCCCAUACCUCACCUCCAUACCUCACACCUCACCACCAACCUCACCCCAUACCUCACCACCAACCUCACCCCCAAACACUCGUGCGAGCAUUCCACACCAUCCAUACUCCACCACCAAAAAUCCCUCGGCAUCCCACCAACCACACCGUGCUAUCGGCGAUGUGCAGGCGGAUACACAGCUUGCUCAGUGCCGAGGCCACGGCGUUCUCGCCAGACUCGAGUCGGAGCGCCGUGUCCAGGGUCCACACUGCAGCGCGGCACAGGUCACACACAGGUCCAUCGGGAUUCGUGCGGCUCCACCGGCCGGGAGUGUCCGGCAGGCAGCGCGACCAUAAGGAGUAGUGGAGCCAAGACGAGUACACGAUGCUCCAUGAUCGGCGAGGACACGGUCUUCUACUGGUCCGAUUUGUCACGUUUCCUAAUGACGUCAUUACGUGAUGGGCGAUGGCUGCUUGUUUGAUGCUGUCGAACGUUCGUCUUCAAAAUCAGUUUGACGUCACCGUUAAUUCAAAACGCCGAAGCAAAAGUCGUCCUUCAACUCAGAAUGGUCGAAAGAACGAUGCGAGAAGAGUGAGGCAAGGUAUCUGAAACUUUUUAGCAGAGCCAGGAUAUAUUUGUGAUGUCACUAAGUUUGAAUCUAAAAUGGAUAUUAUCGUAUGUUCCACCCAUGUUUUUCUUCAUGCAUAUUUAUGUGGGGGGGGGGGGGGGGGGGGGGGGGGGGGGGGGGGGGGGGGGGGGGGGGGGGGGGGGGGGGGGGGGGGGGGGGGGGGGGGGGGGGGGGGCCGCCCAUAUUUUUCCUCAUGCAUAUUUAUGCUCCGCCCAUGUUUUUCCUCAUCCAUAUUUAUGCUCCACCCAUGUUUUUCCUCAUGCAUAUUCAUGGUUUUCCUCAUGCAUAUUUACGCUCCAUCCAUGAUUUUCCUCAUGCAUAUUCAUAUUUUUCUUCAUGCAAAUUUAUGCUCCGCCCAUGUUUUUCCUCAUGUAUAUUUGUGCUCCGCCCAUGUUUUUCCUCAUGCAUAUUUCCCCCCCCCCCCCCCCCCCCCCCCCCCCCCCCCCCCCCCCCCCCCCCCCCCUCAUGCAUAUUUGUGCUCCGCCCAUGUUUUUCCUCAUGCAUAUUUAUGCUCCGCCCAUGUUUUUCCUCAUGCAUAUUUAUGCUCGACCCAUGAUUUUCCUCAUGCAUAUUCAAAUUUUUCCUCAUGCAUAUUUAUGCUCCGCCCAUGAUUUUCCUCAUGCAUAUUCAUAUUUUUCCUCAUGCAUAUUCAUAUUUUCCUCAUGCAUAUUUAUGCUCCACCCAUGUUUUUCCUCAUGCAUAUUUAUGCUCCACCCAUGUUUUUCCUCAUGCAUAUUUAUGCUCCACCCAUGUUUUUCCUCAUGCAUAUUCAUAUUUUUCCUCAUGCAUAUUUAUGCUCCGACCAUGUUUUUCCUCAUCCAUAUUUCUGCUCCACCCAUGAUUUUCCUCAUGCAUAUUCAUGUUUUUCCUCAUGCAUUUUCAUAUUUUUCCUCAUGCAUAUUUAUGCUCCACCCAUGUGUUGCAUCAUCGCUGCUGCUUGGAAGCCAGGAUGGCUCUUCCGGGGGGGGGGGGGGGGGGGGGGGGGGGGGGGGGGGGGGGGGGGGGGGGGGGG